GUCCUCUUCGUCUAGCGGUUAGGACACCGGGUUUUCAUCCCGGCAACACGGGUUCGAUUCCCGUAGAGGAUG
rnacentral:tRNA from 1 species